CUGGCCGAAAUCGCGUUGGAAAAAAAAAAGCUGAGAGUGGAUUAGGGUGGGGUGAACGUGCCAGCGGCGGCCCUCAGAAGAAAGAGGAGCAGCGGGGGCCCUAAGUGGUAGCGAGGGAGAGGAACGGCGCGCCGGCUGGAGGUGGAGGGGCGGCGGCGAGGGAUGAUCUGUUCCGUCCACGCCGAACGGACCGGGGGUUUAGGCCGGCGUUGGACAGGCCUAACUAGGAGAGUUCGCCUGCCUGCGGCCCUCUAGUCGGCGACAGGACCACCAGAGGAGGCGGCCAUGCUAAGCGUCUUUGAAGUCUUAGGUUCGAUCAGAGCCGGGUUUAGACAGGUCUAACUGGGACGACUGCGGCCUUCUGGUUGGUUAGCUGGAGUGGGAUCGGCGCCGGGAGCAGCGGAGGACACGGUCGCUUCGAGCGUUCGUUUCGGCGCUGGUCGUCGUGCAGGUGCCGCCCCGUGCCCCUCAGACUGACAGACUCAGCAGUCCACGGAGGAGGUAAUCCGCAGUCGGAUCGGGGACAUAGUCGGCACGAUUAAGUCACGUAGGCUGAAGUCUUUGCAAGGUAGAAGUUCCGAGUUCGUUUCUUGUUCGAAGUCGACGCCGGUGAGAGGUACCUUUUACGGACGUUCUUGGAGUUGGUUCAGCAUGCGAGCCACGCCGACGAGUUCUAGCUGCCCAAAUCGAACUGGGACUCGGACUCGAGACUUAUAGCGAAGUGUAGGUCUACCUUACAGCUACCCAUACUAAACCUUCAACCAUAGAUAGGACGUCGGUUGGGGAAUAUAGGUCUACCGUUGUUCAAACACAGACACUCUGAUUACAAAGAGUCAUUUCGGGCGUGUCUCACACCACACGGUCACUCGGAUCGGACAGUCGACCAUCUAGCGUCACCCCUCGAACUUGGUAAAUUUCUCCUGUCACACAGCCUCUGGAAGAAACGUGGGGUGAUGAAGUUUCUUGAGAAUAACCACUUAUCCUUCAGGUAUGGUAGACGAAUAGAGGCCCUACUAAGAGACUGGGACGCUACGCGGUAGUGUUACGAGUUCCUUAAUGGUCAUGUUUGGUAGGGUCGACUUCUCCACUAGCGACAUGGUAGGUGGUUAAACGUGGUCGUGGAGCCGCUCGAGGACCUCUCGCUCUGCCCUCGGCUACAGUGGAAAGAGCACACGCUACUCAGCAAACGACGUGUGUUCCUGUAUGAACGGCGUUCCAGAGGCCAAAAGUUCCGGGUCAAGAAACCUCUGUACUUCCUCUUCACGAGCGUUGCACACCUCCACUUCCUGUACCUCCACCGACGUAAGUCCCGGUACGACGUGAAGUAGAUGUGGCUGUGCCACGGGCUCGAACUAGUUGGCGAGCUCAACCACCGCUGCGAGCGAGUCGUAGACGAACGCCGACGACUGACCAUGCCAGAGCUAUCCGAGUUCGACUAAACACUUUACUUCGAGAGACCACCGUAGUGGCAGCUGUGACGUCGUUGUUGAGAACGAAACCGCCUCGUCGUGUUAACGAGCUUCGAGUUCCGGUUUACACAGCUCAAGUAGCAGUCGUGAGGACGUCAAGAACUACUACACAACCGCUGCCUCCCCAUAUCCGUGGACCUCCGUUCGACGGGAAGCCAGGACUGACUCGAAGAGUUCAGACAGGUACCCUCAUUCACGACUUCACAUCGGUAUAACGAUCUGAAGGUCCUAGACUGUUACGCACAUCAGAGACAAACACGAACACUCUUUACUAAUUACGUAUGAUCUUUGAACACAAAAAAAUCCCUUAAUGAUCUUUGAACACAAACGUAAAUGGAUUAUACCUUUUGAAUACAGUACAAUAAUCGUUGCAUUACGAAAGUAGGCGGAUGUCAUCAACGUUAAAUCACUGAAAGUUACAACAUGUGUUCCAAAAUGUGUCAGGUCCCAAGCACAUAUACGAGCAAUCAGAAAACUUGACUCACACGUUGACACGUAUAUCUAUGUACUAAACUAGUCGACGUCGGUGUGGUUAGGACCACAACCCUUUUGAAAACAUCUGGAAGAGUGUUGUUUUAAUCCCUGUUAUGAUCCUGUUACGAGUGAACCCUCAAGACUAACACAGUCAAUGUUUUAAUUCUACUAGAGAC
rnacentral:rRNA from 1 species